rnacentral:rRNA from 2 species
GUGAAUCAUCGAAUCUUUGAACGCACCUUGCGCUCCUUGGUAUUCCGAGGAGCAUGCCUGUUUGAGUGUCAUUAAUAUAUUUAUCAAGCCAUCUCUUGUAGAGUGGUUUUGGAUGUGGGGGUUUUGCUGGCCUCUUUUAAAAGGGUUCAGCUCUCCUGAAAUGCAUUAGCAGAACAACCUUGUUCAUUGGUGUGAUAAACUAUCUACGCUAUUGAGGGGGGCAGUUUCAGCUUUCUAACAGUCCUUGGACAACUCAUUGUUAAUGUGACCUCAAAUCAGGUAGGACUACCCGCUGAACUUAAGCAUAUCAAUAAGCGGAGG